UACGGAGGGUGCGAGCGUUGUUCGGAAUUACUGGGCGUAAAGCGCGCGCAGGCGGCUUCUUAAGUCUGAUGUGAAAGCCCACGGCUCAACCGUGGAGGGUCAUUGGAAACUGGGGAGCUUGAGUGCAGAAGAGGAGAGUGGAAUUCCAUGUGUAGCGGUGAAAUGCGUAGAUAUAUGGAGGAACACCAGUGGCGAAGGCGGCUCUCUGGUCUGUAACUGACGCUGAGGCGCGAAAGCGUGGGGAGCAAACAGG
rnacentral:rRNA from 1 species